CGGGGUGCCCGCGGCGGUGGCCACAGCCUGGCCGCGUGACCCGCGCGCGCCAAUGGCCCGGCGGUCUCCGGGGCGACGCGGAGGGUCCGCGCUCCGCCGCCACUGCGCCCCCGCCCCGAGUCCGCACUGCAGAGAGUGGUGGCGAGCAGGCGCCGGCGCGCUAGCCCACGUGCCGCGCUGAGAGAGGGACAGGGAGAGGAAGAAGGAGAGGGAGUGAGAGGCAGCCAGGAAAAGAGGGGCGCACGACCCCGCUGCCGCUCGGCGCAGCCCCUGCGCCCCACCUGCUGGGACCUCGAUGAGGAAGGACCCCGACCCAGAGGAAGGCUGUGGAGAUCUGGGCUGUCUGCUGUCGCCCUGGGAGUUGGCCUGAUACAUGUGCACCACGCAGUGAUCAUUAUCCCCUAAGUUAGGCUCCACAGAGAUUGGGGACAUGCCAUUGACCCUGUUGCAGGAUUGGUGUCGGGGGGAACAUCUGAACACGCAGAGGUCCAUGCUUAUCCUGGGGAUUCCUGAGGACUGUGGUGAGGAUGAAUUUGAGGAGACUCUUCAGGAUGCUCUCAGGCACCUGGGCAGGUAUAGGGUCAUUGGCAGGAUGUUCAGGAGGGAAGAGAAUGCCCAAGCAUUUCUCUUGGAGCUUGCCCAAGAUAUUGACUAUGCUUUGAUCCCCAGGGAAAUACCCGGAAAGGGAGGGCCCUGGGAAGUGGUUGUAAAACCUCGGAACUCAGAUGGGGAAUUUCUCAAUAGACUGAACCGCUUCUUAGAGGAGGAGAGGCGGACAGUGUCAGAUAUGAACAGAGUGCUUGGAUCAGACACCAACUGCCCUGCUCCAAGAGUGGCCAUAUCACCUGACUUCUGGACCUGGGCCCAGACCCUGGGGGCAGCAGUGCAGCCUCUGCUAGAACAAAUGUUGUACAGAGAACUAAGAGUCUUUUCUGGGAACAGUGUGUCCAUCCCAGGGGCGUUGGCCUUUGAAGCCUGGCUUGAGCACACCACUGAGGUGCUACAGAUGUGGCAGGUGCCUGAGGGUGAAAAGAGGCGGCGGCUGAUGGAAUGCUUGCGGGGCCCUGCUCUGCAGGUGGUCAGUGGGCUCCGGGCCAACAAUGCUGCCAUAACUGUGGAGGAGUGCCUGGCAGCCCUGCAACAGGUAUUUGGACCUGUGGAAAGUCGUAAAAUCGCCCAUGUGAAAUUUUAUAAGGCCUAUCAGGAGGUAGGAGAGAAAGUCUCCAGCUUUGUGUUGCGUUUGGAACCCCUGCUCCAAAGAGCUGUAGAAAAAAAUGCAGUAUUGCGAAGGAAUGUGAAUCAGGCUCGCCUGAAACAAGUCUUAAGUGGGGCUACCCUUACUGACAAACUUCGAGACAGGCUUAAGUUGAUGAAACAGCGAAGGAAACCACCUGGUUUCCUGGCACUGGUGAAGCUCCUGCGUGAGGAGGAGGAGUGGGAGGCCACUUUUGGUCCAGAAAGGGGGAGGCUACAGGGGCUGGAUGCAGGAGUAAGGGCAUCUGCCAGAGCCAAUGCUCUCAGAGCAGUGUCUUUUGCUGCCCCUGACAGCACUCUUCAGGCCAGGCCUUCCCAAGGUUCCCGGCGCAGGAGGGGCAGAGGACAGCAUCGAAGGGGGCGUGUGCUAAGGGCCAGCUCCCGAGGUUCAGGAAAACGGAAACAUCACACAUUCUGCUAUAGCUGUGGAGAAGAUGGCCACAUCAGGGCACAGUGUAGCAACCCUCCAAACCCGCUCUUGGUAAAGCAGAAGAGACAGGCUGCAAUGGAGUCGGGAAAUGGGAACAGGGCUUGGGAAAAGAGCCAUCCCAAGCCCAAAGCCAAGUAGGCUCAGGAGAACAGGGCACCUCUUCUUAUUUCAGGCAGAGGAAACAAAAGAGAUAUUGGAAAAAGGGAAAGGGGCAGCCCACAGAAACAGCAGGGGACUUGAGUGGGGUAGAGGGGCAAAGAAGCCAUGCCCAGGCUGAGCCCCCUCAUCCUCUGCCAGAUGAAAAAGACUCCACUCACCAAGCUACAUGGGACUCAGUGAAGGCCAACAACAGUGCACUGAAGAGGUGCCAGAGACACAACUGGGGGGUUGCCCCAUCCAGCACAUGGGGUGCACCAGCUGCGGGCAAAGACCCCAACACAGCAGAGACUGAAGAAAGUGGAGCUGGGGACUCAUUCAUCAGCCCCAUCAUCUGGCCACCCCCAAAUGCCCACCCUGUGGGCUCUGAGCUAAAGAUGCCAACUGACCCCCAGGCCACGUGGGGCCUGGAGGAGCCUUCCCCAGGACCAGCCCUGCCUGAAGGAGUCAUCUCAGGCAAAGAAGAGCUGUACAACAGAGAGUGCCACUGGAGACCAGGAGCCUGCAGGCAAGGAGGCCUGGGACUGGCCUGGUGAACGACAACUCAGCAGCUGGCAAUGCCAAGGCCAGCACCAAACCCUGUCAAUUCAGGCAGCCAGCCUGGGAAGCACCCUGAGUGGCUGGCCCUAGCCUAGGUGAGGGGCACCUGAAAAUGUCUGCCACCCACACUGGCCUGGGAGAUGUUAGGAGCCGUCUCAAGGGUGCCAGCCCCUCAGGCCGCCCAAGAGGGGGACCCUCGUUCACUGACCCGUGGAGCACGUCACUCCACGCUCUGAGAAGCCCACUUGUGCCUCUGUAGGCCCCUUAGUGACCCCCGUGUCAAGUGACACCCCCAGCUCCCCCUACACGCACCCUAGUUACCAUUCCCGUGCAGAGCCUUGAGGUGUGCAGGAGCCCGCGGCGGGUGUCCUGGCCUAACACAGCAGCCACCUCUCAGCCCCGGGUGUGUGGCACGAGCUUCAGUGCGAGCCCAGGCUCUGCUCGCUGUCGUCCGGUGUCGUGAGCUCAGCCUCUGCUUCCUCGGUGUAGA